UAUUGGGUUUGGGGUUAGGCUUUGUCUAGGUUAGGAAUUUAGGGUUAAUUGGGCUUGAUUUUUUGGGUUGUGUAAAUAGACUGGACAUUGGUUUUGUAUUUUGGGUUUUAUUUAUUUAGUUGUGCCCGAGCAAAUUGGGCUGUUUACAGUUUAAAUUUUCAUUAUUUUUUAAUAGAAUAAAAUUAAUUUUAAGUAUGAAUUGGUUUAAUUUAUU
rnacentral:lncRNA from 1 species